rnacentral:rRNA from 1 species
CGGUCCUUCUAGGGAGUCCGCCGGUGACAAUCCGGAGGAAGGCGGGGAUGACCUCAAGUCCUCAAGGCUUUUACAUACAUGUCUACACACGUGCUACAAUGGCGGGUACAGAGCGACCUCUACCCUAGAGGAGGUGCAGGGUCCAGAAAGCCAGUCGCAGUUUGGAUCCCAGUAUUCCACUACAGACCAAGAAGUCGGAAUCCGCAGUAAUCGCGGACAAGCAUUCCGCGGAGAAUACGCUCCCGGGCUA